CCGCCGGCGACCGGCGCACGGGUGAGUAACACGUAUCCAACCUGCCGAUAACUCGGGGAUAGCCUUUCGAAAGAAAGAUUAAUAUCCGAUAGGAUAUCAAGAUCGCAUGAUCUUGAUAUUAAAGAAUUUCGGUUAUCGAUGGGGAUGCGUUCCAUUAGUUAGUUGGCGGGGUAACGGCCCACCAAGACGACGAUGGAUAGGGGUUCUGAGAGGAAGGUCCCCCACAUUGGAACUGAGACACGGUCCAAACUCCUACGGAAGGCAGCAG
rnacentral:rRNA from 1 species